rnacentral:rRNA from 1 species
GGACUACCAGGGUAUCUAAUCCUGUUUGCUCCCCGCACUUUCGCGCCUCAGCGUCAGUCAUUGGCUAGAAGUUCGCCUUCGCCACCGGUGUUCUUCCUGAUAUCUACAGAUUUCACCCCUACACCAGGAAUUCCAACUCCCCCUCCAUGACUCUAGUUACUCAGUUUCCAACGCAGUCCCAAGGUUAAGCCUCAGGAUUUCACGCCAGACUUGCGUAACCGCCUACGCGCCCUUUACGCCCAAUAAUUCCGAACAACGCUCGCCCCUUACGUGUUACCGCGGCUGCUGGCAC